ACUACAACAACUCGAUGGAAAUAUAGAAAACCAAGAUUUAACUUCAGAAAAUUGUCAACUUCGAACUUGCGAUGUCACACAGACUACCUUCAAAAAAGUGCCACAAGGUCUAGAUUUAACUACGCCUAUGGCACAUAAGAAUAAGUUUGCAGAGUCAACUAAUGGGUUUAAUUCAACCUAUUGUCAGGGAUUAGAAAGUGAAGAAAAAGAGUAUACUGUUACUACGGAACCGGAAGAAAUUAUAUCCGAUAAACACGUCGGAAGGAAGAUUGUGGCCAUAUCUCAAUUCAAAAAUUACUCAACUUUUGUAAACAUGGCCAUCUAGCGUAUUCAUCGAAUGAUAUAAUACUAACAGGAGAAAAUCAAA